AGUGAACGCUGGCGGUAGGCCUAACACAUGCAAGUCGAACGACAGCACAAUAAGAGCUUGCCCUUACGGGUGGCGAGUGACGGACGGGUGAGGAAUACAUAGGCAUCUACUUUUUCGUGGGGGAUAACGUAGAGCCACUUCCGCUAAUACCGCAUAUGUCCUACGGCUUGAAGCAGGGGUUCUUCACACCUUGCCCGAUUGUAUGAGACGAGUCCGGAUUAGCUAGUUGGCUGGGUAAAGGCCCACCAAGGCGACGAUCCGUAGCUGGUCUGAGAGGAUGAUCAGCCACACUGGAACUGAGACACGGUCCAGACUCCUACGGGAGGCAGCAGUGGGGAAUAUUGGACAAUGGGCGCAAGCCUGAUCCAGCCAUACCGCGUGGGUGAAGAAGGCCUUCGGGUUGUAAAGCCCUUUUGUUGGGAAAGAAAAGCAGCAGGUUAAUACCUCGCUGUUCUGACGGUACCCAAAGAGUAAGCACCGGCUAACUUCGUG
rnacentral:rRNA from 1 species